rnacentral:misc_RNA from 1 species
GGGAAAUAUAUUGAAAUUUGAUAUAAUUUUUUUUUUAAAGUUUAAAUAUAAAACCAUCAUGUAUAUGCAUCAUUAUCAUCGUCAUCAUCAUAGGCAUAUCUCUUAUCGACUAGUAAUCAUAAACAGAGGAAGGCCUAAUUAACAAGAGUAGGUUAAGAAUCAGGCUGUGAAACCAUGGAAAGCUCAAAUUGCCUUAGAGAAGCAGGAGGUUGAAGAGAGAGCUAACUCUGAAGAAAUGAGAUUGUCCCACCCCUGAAGUGGGUUAUUAUUUUCUGAGCCAUCCCACCCUAUAUGUGUCACGUGCUUCACAUCUGUUGGGACCCCUAUUUCCAUUUCCAGUUCUUCUUCAUCCACAAAUAAUUGAGAGAAGGUCUUGAAACCCUUGACAAGCCUAUGAAACCGAUCUGAUGUAUUAGGCUUUGAAACAGCAAGAAAUUUCAGUUCAUUCUUCAUACUCUCAGUGCUUGAUAAGCUUUCCUCAUCGUCUUCUUUUUUUCUUAUUAGAGGUGGGUUAGUGCGAUGAGGAGCUGGUGGCUGCUUGGUUCUUCUGGGGUGGUGCACACCAAUUGCCACACUUGAUUCAGAGACGCAACCAAUGGAGAAAGGAAGGAGAACAAGCUUUUCCAUUCUAUCUCGCAUAUUUGUUUAUCAACAACCAAGCAAAAGGAAAGAAAAUUAUAGGGAUUAAAGCAAAUGCGAAGUGGACUGACAUAUAAGAAAAAAAAAAUUAUGGGGUGGUUGAGGAAAGACAACUACUAGACAACCCUUUGAACUAGGAUUUGGGUUUGUUAUAUUUGUCCAUUUGGGUGAUGGUCAAGGUGCUGGUAGUGGUGUUGCUGGCUUGGCAACCAAGUUAUUAUAAUUUCACAUACAACAGGUCAAGCUACAAAUCGAGUUUAGUUGGGUAGAGAGAUGGAGAUGGGUUUGUUUUGAACGUAUAAUGUAUUUUUC